CAGGGACAGCGCUCAAGUGCAUAACCUGCCACCUUCACCUGACCUCAGAUCGCUGUAGAAGUGGCUUUGGAGUUUGUGUUGCUAAGGAGGAAGAGAAGUGUAUGACUUUAAAGGUCUACAACUUCGGACGGAAACACCUGCUGUCCUACAUGGUGUGCCAGAGGUUCUGCAGAGCCAUGAAGUUCCUGCACCACGGUCGGUAUUUCUUCCACGAGUGCUGCGACCAGAAUUACUGCAACUUCAAACUGGGAGGAACUGGCGCGACCACACUCCAAGGAGGCGACCCCGAGAGGCCCAGUGCAGAAACAUUGACAGGACUAUUCUA